UCCCUGGAAGUCCAGUGGUGAGGACUCUGAGCUUUCACUGCUGAGGGCCCAGGGUUCAAUCCCUGAUCAGGGAA
rnacentral:tRNA from 1 species